rnacentral:rRNA from 1 species
CCUACGGGUGGCAGCAGUGGGGGAUAUUGGACAAUGGGGGAAACCCUGAUCCAGCGACGCCGCGUGAGUGAAGAAGUAUUUCUGUAUGUAAAGCUCUAUCAGCAGGGAAGAAAGACAUGACGGUACCUGAGUACGAAGCCCCGGCUAACUACGUGCCAGCAGCCGCGGUAAUACGUAGGGGGCAAGCGUUAUCCGGAAUUACUGGGGUUACAGGGAGCGUAGACGGUAAUGCAAGUCUGGAGUGAAAGGCGGGGGGCCCCCCCCCGGAUUGCCCUGGAAACUGGGUAACUGGAGUGCAGGAGAGGCAGGCGGAAUGCCUAGUGUAGCGGUGAAAUGCGUAGAUAUUAGGAGGAACACCAGUGGCGAAGGCGGCCUGCUGGACUGUAACUGACGUUGAGGCUCGAAAGCGUGGGGAGCAAACAGGAUUAGAUACCCCGGUAGUC